UUGCAUCUAGAGCCGCAGCAGCAUCCAAAUCUAGCAUUUCACCUAACGAGUUCGCAUCAACAUUCAUUCAGAAUCCAAAAACUAGGAUCUACAGCCCAGAAAGGCGAUCAUAAAUCCACAUAUAGCCAGACAAGAACUGCAAAGGCAAAUGAGCACAGGCACAUUACUUCAAAGUUGACUUAUUCAUACUUAACGGUACAGAUGUACCUGCAACUGUUUGCACCAAACCACAGGACUCGAUGGUCCAUUAAAGCAGCAGACACAGUACGACUUCACACAAACGAGACAUCACUUGAACAAAGGCGACACAGGGUACAGCAGCAGCAGCAGCAGGUCAAACGAUAGGGCAAUUACUGACCACCACGGAGGCGGAGCACCAGGUGAAGGGUGGACUCCUUCUGGAUGUUGUAGUCGGCUAGGGUGCGACCAUCCUCCAGCUGCUUGCCAGCGAAGAUAAGGCGCUGCUGGUCCGGGGGAAUGCCCUCCUUGUCCUGGAUCUUAGCCUUGACAUUGUCAAUGGUGUCAGAGCUCUCAACCUCAAGGGUAAUGGUCUUGCCAGUGAGGGUCUUCACGAAGAUCUGCAUGCCACCACGCAGACGCAGCACCAGGUGGAGGGUGGACUCCUUUUGGAUGUUGUAGUCGGCCAGGGUGCGACCAUCCUCCAGCUGCUUGCCAGCAAAGAUAAGGCGCUGCUGGUCCGGGGGAAUGCCCUCCUUGUCCUGGAUCUUGGCCUUGACGUUGUCAAUGGUGUCGGAGCUCUCGACCUCCAGGGUGAUGGUCUUGCCAGUGAGGGUCUUCACGAAUAUCUGCAUGCCACCACGCAGACGCAGGACAAGGUGGAGGGUGGACUCCUUCUGGAUGUUGUAGUCAGCGAGGGUACGGCCAUCCUCCAGCUGCUUGCCAGCGAAGAUGAGACGCUGCUGGUCCGGAGGAAUGCCCUCCUUGUCCUGGAUCUUGGCCUUGACAUUGUCGAUGGUGUCAGACGACUCAACCUCAAGGGUGAUGGUCUUGCCUGUCAGUGUUUUCACAAAGAUCUGCAUCUGCAAAGAAGAAUCGCAUGGACAAGAAAUAAAGAAGAACCUCAAGGGUGAUGGUAAGAAUAAAGAAGCAGACCAGGCAAACUCACAAUGAUGGAACAACAAAUACUAAUGCAUGGACAAGCUCACAAUGAUGGAACAAGAAACACAAAUGCAUGGACAAGCUCACAAUGAUGGAACAACAAACAGAAAUGCAUGGACAAGCUUCUACAGCAGCAGCAUAUUUUUUUCAUUAAUAAAGAUAUUAAAGAUCAUAGGGCCAAGCGUAUGUAACACAAAUGUCUACAGAUUUCAUUAAUCUAAUGAUUCAACAUAGCAGCCAGACAUGCUUACAUUAUCUAAGAUAGCUUCAGGGUAACAAAUCAAGCACAUCUGACACUAAUCUACAUGUAUUUGCUAACUCAAUGAUUCCACAAGCUUCAGGAGAAAAACAUCUACAAUCCUAUGCCUAUUAGGACGAUCUUGGUACAACAGCAAUCAGAUAAAAAGCAAUAGAUCAGGCAGCUACUAUUUAGGAUCAUAAAGAUUUACCAAGCCAGAGCGGAAAUGUAAUAAUAGAUAAAACAUGCAUAGAUUAACAUAUGAGACCAUACGGCAUCACGAACUCAUGUGGAAGACGGAUAUUAACCCUAAAGUAAAAAAUAGGAAAUAAACAGAAAAUCCCUACGAAUUCACUAAAGCUUAACCAAUCUACCAACGCAGAUAUAUAAGCUUAUACACCAAGCCAGAGACUCAAACAGACAUAUUUUCUUCAUCAAAGAGAUACCAGCGAGCAAAUAGGUUCAUGCACAUCUAGACUAUCAAUUUUCUCACGGAUUUGCAUAUAGUUGUUGGGCAUGCUAUCAGAACGAAACCUAUCUUCGGGUCAAACCAAUCUACAAUCUUAGGCCUACAGAUCAGGCAGUAGACGCGUCUAGAGAUAAUUUUAUAUGGUAUAAAAGCUACUUGGGCGAAUCUAUCAAGCAGGAAGACGAACUAGUACAUAAACAUGCAUAGAUUAACAAACGGGACCACAUGUCAUCAAGGAAUUCAUCCUGAUCAACCCAUUCAAUACGCGAAAUCCCUACGAAUUCGCUAAAUCUUCACCGAUCUAACAACAGAUCGGAGCCAAAUUCCACAGUACCACACGUCCAACGAGAGCACUACGGAAACGUAGAUCUAGACGAUACGGGGAGAGGGGAAGGAAUCGCCGUACCUUGAGGCGGUGGGGAUUCGACGAGCCUGGAGUCGAUCGGAGACGAGAUUGGUUGGGGAUUUGUUGGUUCCGCUCCUGGGAGCUGUUGUGAGGAUUGGAGGCUGGGAGGGGUGGGUAUUUAUGCCGGUUGGUGACGGGCCGGGUGGGGGAAGAAUCCCGUGCCGUCACGGUUCCGUCUGUUGGACGGGGUACGUCUGGUGCUCGUCUCCGCCACGCGAUCUCCGCGAAGGACCCGACGGCCGCGGAGGGUUCGAGAGAGGACGGCCGUCUACCCCGGGCGGGGUUGAUGGCCGUUAGCCACCCGCUCACGCCGUUAAAUGGACGCUUCGUCCGUGUCGCUGACAAGUAUGGCGCGCUGGUCUGGUCUGUGUAGGAGUGAUGAUCGUAAGUUGAGUACUCCCUAUUGAUGUUAAUUAAUAAGGGCAUGUACAAUGAUGCUAUCUUAGGAGUGCCACGUAGGAUAAAUGAUGAGGCGGAGGAGAGAGAACUCAUAAAAAAAGCCUUGUCUUCUCUUAUUUAAGAUAAGACAAGAGAUGAUCUCUUAGCAUAAUUUGUCUCACCAUGUUUUAAGGAAUUGCUAGUUAUUGAAAAUAAGGCUAAGAUAUAACCCAUUGUAGACAUAUUUUUUGUCAUCUCUAAAUUACAUGCAAAAUUUAAGAUAAGAUUGUCUUAUCAACCAUUGUACAUGCCCUAACUCUACAACAAAAUGCUAUGCUAAUUAACGCGUCAUUGUGUUCCACUCCUAGAAAUAAAAUUCCACUGAGCUAAUUAGGGCUGGAAUUCGAGCCGAGUCGAGCCAGCUCGGCUCGACUCGCUAGAGCUCGUUUCGUUAACGAGCUAGCUCGACUCGACUCGUUACUAUAACGAGCUCAAACCCAAGAUUGGCUCGACUCGUAUAACUCGCGAGCUGGCUCGUUUAGCUUGUUAAACUCGUUUAAGAUAUAAACAUAAAGCCCUCAAAUAUGAUAAAAUGAUUAUGUAUAUAUUAAACAUAUAUAUCACUAAACAAUUGUAAUUUUCUUGUAACGCAUGAGUCUCCUAGGAGGCUAGGCCUUCAACUGCUCGGCCUUGGGUUGUGCGCCUGGGAUGUAGGUUGUUUAGUGGCUGAUCUUUCUUUGUAUUGGGAGUGGCUGAUCUAUUAUAUCGAGCCUAACGAGUUACACGAGUACUCGUGAGAUUGACUCGUUUAACUUGGUCUAUAAACGAUCUUAAAUUAAAGCUCGGCUCGACUCGUUAUUCUUCGAGUUCGAGUCGAUUCGAGCCGAGUCACGAGCUACUUGUUUAGCUCGCGAGCGUCGAGCUUUUUUUCCAGACCUAGAGCUAAUUUUGAUUUGUUUCAGAAAGUAUGUGUGUAUUCAAAUCACAAAAUAAUACAAAGUCCUUGAUCCAUACAAGCACACCCUAACACACGCACAACAAUCAGAAUAACAAAAAGCACCCUAAUACAACCAGUAAAACAUGAAGAUUUUCGAAGCUCUGUGUCAUCGUCCCUAAACCUUGCGAGAAGACCCCUGCAAUACAAGCAUCUGCAACCAGAUUUAAGCAGGCCAUCAUCUUUAACCAUAAUCGCCGCCACACUACUCCCCCUUUUCUUCACUCCCGCGCCGCAUAGAUAAGGACACACAUAUGCAUCCAACACGCCUGCACCAGCCUUCGCCAUAUGUGGCUUUGAGUAUCGAUGUAUGUGCUCCUUCCAGAUGGAAGAGAACUAGGAUCCGGUUCCGGCGCCCCGGUCGGGCCAACUGCCCGGGCAAAGCAGGAUAUCCCUCCAGCAACAACACAAAGGAGGAAGAAACGCAAUAGGAAAUCAUACUGACGAUGAGGAAGAAGAAUCUUUGUCUCCACACAAUCACCACCCAUCCGAGGACCAACCAAGCCAGUGUCGGUCGACCCCCAGACACCAUAGCCCGCAACCUCGACGAGGUCCGGGGGUCCCUUACCCCGCUGGCUCCUAGACCAAGGCAAGGGCCUGACUGUAAAUGGAGUCCGAAGAAACUAAUUCGAAUGCGACGCUGCCGCAACGGCUUUGGCAGCGACUCCCUCAAUCCUAACCCUACUGAGAACCCAUCCGACACACAGAUCUAAGGUUCCCCUCCCUCUCGCCACCGGAGCGGCCGGCGGAGGGAGAGGGAACCAGCUGUGGCGCCGGCGGCUCGCAAAGGGAACCCGCUGUCGCUUUCUUUCGGCCUCGCUACGAUCCUGUUUCUCCGGAGGCAGCUCCGGUGGCACCCCUGUGUGGUGCAACUUAGUGAGCUAAUUUUGACUUGACGGGUUUAUACUUUUUCAUAGUUUGUGAUGGCAAAUGAACACUUUUUUUUAUUGCGAAGGAACACACUUGGCAUACACUAGAGCAGACGAAUUCAUACUUACGAAUGGACACUUUUCAAAUAUAUUAUAUUGAUCAUUUUUUAUAUACAUUCAUGGAUGAUUAGCCGGGAUGAGUGAGUUUACACGGGACCACCUGUAAGUAACGAACAAUGCAAGUUGGCAUACCUGCACGAAAAAAUACCCCCUCCGUUAACUAUUAUAGGACAUUCUAACUUUUUUUCUAAAUCGAUGUAUGUAGACAAGUUUUAGAAUGUUUGUUCAGUCAUUUCAGUAUGUAUGCAGUCUAUAUUAAAAUAUCCAAAACAUCUUAUACUAAUAAACGGAUAGAGCUCUAGUGAUUUCUUAGUUGUUCUUAUACGAUAUUUUGUCACAUGGAUUUUUUUUUGAGCUUUAGGCAUUGAGGUAGGGAUGCAAGAGCGGGUCCCCUCAAUCCUGCAAAAUGCGGGAGGUUAGUAUGUACCACAAGUAUCAAACAACUCAACGGCUAGGACUCACUCGUAACUUGCACACUAAACGGGUUAGUUUGUGGGUUUACUUGCAUCCUUACAUGGAGGAAAUGAGGAAUGGUGCAUGUUCCCGUUGCCAAAAUCUCCUUUGUUUCCCUUGUUGCUUUCUUUUUUAUAGGCACUGACAAGGGACAAGUGUUAUUUCCUAAAAUUGCACUUUUACAUCUUAGAUUUUUGCUCUCCCCAAAACCACCAGACAUCAUAUUACAAUUGUAUUACUCCUAUCUCUCCAAAGUUCAGUAUAUUUUUGUAUCUCUCACAAGAAAUACAAAAUUGGCAGGACCAGGGCAUGCGUGAAUUGUUUGACUGAACUUUCUGUUUAUUAAGGAACAUAUAAGAGUAUUUUGUAGAGCAGGACAUAUAUGCACACGGCAUCACUUUGAUUGCGGCAGGAAGCUGCAAAUGUACUCCACUUUGGACCCACCGAUGCACUAGUGUUGAAUCAUUGGUAUUGUGGACAGCUCAACUAACUAUAUUGUGCAAACUUAGCAACUAGCGGCUAGUGAUUGCCAUCUGUUGGCACUUGGCAGCAUAGACCAAUGCAACAAUAAUAAGCUUAAUCAAUGAAGCGCCGGCAGUCGCCGGACUUUUUUAAAAAAAGUGAGAUUAAACCAAUGUGAAUGAGACGUGUUGCUGUUUUAUAAUUUCAGCUCGGCGCUACCUUGGAUUCGGUCAAACAAAGCCGAAGCAUUCUAUAUGCCCGCUCAUAAUUCCCACGUUAAACAAGUAAAGACACAUAAUGAUUAUGGUGUCGGGUCAAGAAAUUGUGCACUUGUCUUGCCAAGGUGUAUCCAUAUUGCAUCCAUUUUGAACGAUGCAAUGCAACAAAAUGCAAGGCUUUCCAUAAAAAAAAAGUACCCAAGUAUCCCAAGCUAUGUUAUGAAUGUUGAUUUGAAUUUUUGCUCGACAGUGCUAAGCGGCGCGCAGCAAUCCGUUUCGAAUCUCCCGUACCGGAUCUUCCUCCUAUUCGCUUCGUCCUCCUCCCGACAUCAUUGAGCCCUUCUUCUUUCCCCCAAAAAUUGCUCCGGGCACAAGCACCACCAACUUCCACCAUAACACCGCCGGUUCACCACCCUCGCUAUCCUCACAAGUUUUUUUUCAAGAGUACGCCAAUAGCGUACCGUAUCUUUAUAGAAGGGAGAAAAAUAGUUUACAAGAUUUGUGCGAUCGAUGCGAACAUCCAUCGCCCGAGCACCCACUCACACCCACCUACAAGAAAAUCAAGUGUGAUCUCUCACAAAACGAUCUAAUCCACCCGCACCCACACCUGCAUUAUACCACUCGUGGAUUUCCUCAAGGAUGGCUCUAGCUAGUUCACUAUAGUCUUUAACUUGCUCCGGUCGAUUGAACACCUUGGCGUUCCUUUGCUUCCACAACAUCCAAGCCGCGCCGAUGAUGGUCGAGUCAAAGCCUCGCUUGUGCUUCCCUUGGAAACCAGAGCGAGCCCUAAGCCACCACUCGACAAGUGUGUCCGUGCUAUUGGGAGGAAGGACAUUAAUUUGUAGGGAGUCAAAGCACGUGUGCCACACCUGACGAGCGUAAACACACUGCACCACAAUGUGCUCAAUUGUAUCCUCCUCCUGCAAGCAUAUGUAGCAUGGCGAGGUGUUGCCCUGCAGUCCAUAUCGUGCCCGUCUGUCGGAUGUCCAAAGCCGGUGUUGCAUAGCGAGCCAUGCAAAGAUCUUGCAUUUUAACGGUGCCCAGCUACGCCAAAUCGCAGCAGCAGUAGGUGACUUGAUCGCGCCCUGGUUGAGUUUGGCGUAGGUGGAUCUCGCCGUAUACAUACCCGAAGGGUCAUGUGGCCAAGCAAAGAUGUCCUCCAUAUGCACAUCUCUUUGAACUGUGGCGACUGCAUGCCUCAGAUGGACUGUUUGUAGCAGUGCCCCAAAAGAAGUCUGUGGUUGAACAUCGAGUGCCCAUCUCUCAUCUUCCAAGGCCUGAGCAACCAUACGGGAGUUCAUGAUCCUCGUUUCCACUCCGGCCACCAGCGUGGGCGCAAUAUCUAACGGAGAAGUCGUGGAUCCAUCUAUCUCUCCAGAAAAGUACCUUAUCUCCUUUGCACACCGUGAUCUGCACCAAACUGUGAAAGACUUGUCUAGCACCUUGAUAACCCACAAGUGUAGGGGAUAAUUGUAGCAUCUUUCGAUAAGUAAGAGUGUCGAACCCAACGAGGAGCUAAAGAUAAAACAAAUAUUCUCUAAGUCCUAUCUGCCACUGAUACGACUCUACGCACGCUUAGUGUUCGCUUUACCUAGAACAAGUAUGAAACUAGAAGUACUUUGUAGGUGUGAUAGGAUAGGUUUGCAAGAUAAUAAAGAGCACGUAAAUAAAAAGCAGGGGUUGUUUAGAUAAAGAAGCAAUAAAGUAAAUAUAGCGAGUGUGGAAAAGUGGUGGUAGGAGUUGUGAAAUUGCCCCUAAGCAAUUGAUUACUUUACUAGACUGAUAGAAAGUUUUAUGUGAGAGAGGCAUAAGCUAACAUACUUUCUCUUCUUGGAUCAUAUGCACUUAUGUUGGAACUCUAGCAAGCAUCCGCAACUACUCCCUCUGUAAACUAAUAUAAGAGCGUUUAGAUCACUACUUUAGUAUUCUAAACGCUCUUAUAUUAGUUUACGGAGGGAGUACUAAAGAUCAUUAAGGUAAAACUCAACUAUAACAUUAAAGCAUCAAGUCCCCUUUAUCCCAUACUCCACAACCCCCUUACUCGGGUUUAUGCUUCUAUCACUUAAGCAACCCACUGUAAGCGAAUCAUGAACGUAUUGCAACACCCUACAACGGGAAUCCCUCACGCUUGCGCGAUACGGAGGGCACAAUAGGACAACAACAUAACCAAGCAAAUUAAACCAAUCAUAGCAAUUCAUAAAUCACCUGUAGGACAACGAAAAUCUACUCAGACAUCAUAGGAUGGCAACACAUCAUUGGAUAAUAAUAUGAAGCAUAAAGCACCACGUUCAAGUAGAGGGUACAGCGGGUUGCGGGAGAGUGGACUGCUGAAUAUAGAUGGGGGAAGGUGAUGGAGAUGUUGGUGAAUAUGAUGGAUGUGUUGGUGUAGAUCGUGGUGAUGAUGAUGGCCCCCAGCGGCGUUCCGACGCCACUGGAAGCAAGGGGGAGAGAGCCCCUCUUCUUCUUCUUCUUCUUCUUCUUCUUCUUCUUCUUCUUCUUAUUCUUCUUCUUCUUCCUUGACCUUCUCCCUAGAUGGGAGAAGGGUUUCCCCUCUAGUCCUUGGCUCCCAUGGCAUGGGAGGGGCGAGAGCCCCUCCGAGAUUGGAUCUGGCUCUCUGUCUCUCUCUGUUUCCGCGUUCUCAGAUUCUACCCUUUCAUCGUUUCUUUUAUAUCCGGAGAUCCGUAACUCCGAUUGGGUUGAAACUUUCGCCCAGAUUUUUCUCUGAAAAUUAGCUUUUUUGCGGCAAAAGAAGAGUGUUGACCUCCUUACGGGGUGCCCACGAGGGUCAGAGGCGCGUCUGCCCCCCUGGGACGCGCCCCCUGCCUCGUGGCCCCCUCGGGCACCGUCUCGCAUUGGUUUUUUUUCCCAAAAAUCAUAAAUAUUCCAAAAAUGAUCUCCGUCCGUUUUUAUCCCGUUUGGACUCCGUUUGAUAUUGGGUUUCUGCAAAACAUAAAACAUGUAACAAACAGGAACUGGCACUGGGCACUGGAUCAAUAUGUUAGUACCAAAAAUAAUAUAAAAAGUUGCCAAAAGUAUAUAAAAGUUGUAGAAUAUUGGCAUGGAACAGUCAAAAAUUAUAGAUACGACGGAGACGUAUCAGCAUCCCCAAGCUUAAUUCAUGUUCGUCCUCGAGUAGGUAAAUGAUAAAAAAGAUAAUUUUUGAUGUGGAAUGCUACCUAGCAUAAUCUUGAUUAUAUAUCUAAUCAUGGCAUGAAUAUUAAGACACGAGUGAUUCAAACCAAUAGUCUAUCAUUUGACAUGAAAACAAUAAUACUUAGGGCAUCCCAACAAACAAUCAUGUCUUUCAAACUAUCAAUGCUUCAGAACGUUAUCCCUACAAAAUCAUAUAGUCUUGUAUGCUCCCAUUUCUUAACACAAGGUACCCCUCAUGCCUAUCCCGGUGUCAGCCAAGCAAUUGUUUCAUACUUUAGUAUUCUCAAACUUUUUCAACUCUCACGCAAUACAUGAGCGUGAGCCAUGGAUAUAACACUAUGGGUGGAAUAGAAUAUGAUGGUGGAGGUUAUGUGGAGAAGACAAAAAGGGAGAAAGUCUCACAUCGACGCGGCUAAUCAACGGGCUAUGAAGAUGCCCAUCAAUUGAUGUCAAUGCGAGGAGUAGGGAUUGCCAUGCAACGGAUGCACUAGAGCUAUAAGUGUAUGAAAGCUCAACAAAAUAAACUAAGUGGGGCAUCCAACUUGCUUGCUCACGAAGACCUAGGGCGUUUUGAGGAAGCCCAUCGUUGAAAUAUACAAGCCAAGUUCUAUAAUGAAAAUUACCACUAGUAUAUGAAAGUGACAACAUAAGAUACUCUCUAUAUGAAGAACAUGGUGCUACUUUGAAGCACAAGUAUGGAAACGGAUAGUAACAUUGCCCCUUUUAUUUUCUUAUUUUCCUUUUUUUCUCUUUUUUUUCUUUUUUUGGAUGGGCUUCUUUGGCCCCCUUUUUUUAUUUAGGAUUCUUUGGCCUCUCUUUUUUUUUCUUUUUUUUCAUGGGGCAAUGCUCUAAUAAUGAUGAUCAUCACACUUUUAUUUACUUACAACUCGAUAUUACAACGAUAUUAGAACAAACAUAUGACUCUAUAUGAAUGCUUCCGGCGGUGUACCGGGAUGUGCAAUGAUCUAGCGUAGCAAUGACAUCAAAAAACGGACAAGCCAUGAAAACAUCAUGCUAGCUAUCUUACGAUCAUGCAAAGCAAUAUGACAAUGAAUGCUCAAGUCAUGAAUAUGAUGAUGAUGGAAGUUGCAUGGCAAUAUAUUUCGGAAUGGCUAUGGAAAUGCCAUGAUAGGUAGGUAUGGUGGCUGUUUUGAGGAAGAUAUAAGGAGGCUUAUGUGUGAUAGAGUGUAUCGUAUCACGGGGUUUGGAUGCACCGGCGAAGUUUGCACCAACUCUCGAGGUGAGAAAGGGCAAUGCACAGUACCGAAGAGGCUAGCAAUGAUGGAAGGGUGAGAGUGCGUAUAAUCCAUGGACUCAACAUUAGUCAUAAAGAACUCAUAUACUUAUUGCAAGAAUUUAUUAGCCCUUGAAACAAAGUACUACACGCAUACUCCUAUGGGGGAGGUUGGUAGGAGUUAACCAUCGUGCACCCUCGACCUUCACGCAAAGACAAACAAUCAAAAUACAAUGUGCGCCAAUUUGGUUACAUAGUUAAUAGACCAUACGUGCAUGCUUCGGGAAUCACAAACCUUAACACCAAUAUCCUUACUAAAUACAACCAUCUACUAGUACCUCCCACAUAUUAUCAUCUCUAUAUCGCAAAACUAUUGCAAAGAAUCAAACAUAUCAUAUUCGGUGAUCCACAAGUUUUAUGUAGGAUUUUAUGACUAACCAUGUGAAUGACCAAUUCAUGUCAUCUCUCUAAAUAGAUAUAAGUGAAGCAAGAGAGUUUAAUUAUUUCUUCAAAAGAUAUGCCCAUGCGCUAACAAAUAUAAGUGAAGCAAAAGAGCAUUCUACAAAUGGCGGUUUUCUAUGUGAAGAGAAACAGACAAUUCAAACUUCAAAUGAUAUAAGUGAAGCACAUGAAGCAUUCUAUAAAGCCAUACUCAAAAGAUAUAAGUGAAGUGCAAUGAGAAUUCUAUAAAUAAACCAAGGACUAUCUCAUACCAGCAUGGUGCAUAAAAAAAGUGAAAACUGAAUGCAAAAGAAGCUCCAAGACUUGCACAUAUCGCAUGAACGAAACAAAUCCGAAAACAUACCGAUACUUGUUGAAGAAAGAGGGGAUGCCUUCCGGGGCAUCCCCAAGCUUAGACGCUUGAGUCUCCUUGAAUAUUUACUUGGGGUGCCUUGGGCAUCCCCAAGCUUGAGCUCUCGCCUCUCUUCCUUUUCCUCAUAUCGAGACCUCCUCGAUCAAACACUUCAUCCACACAAAACUUCAACAGAAAACUCGGUAAGAUCCGUUAGUAUAAUAAAGCAAAUCACUACUCUAAGUACUGUAGCAAACCAAUUCAUAUUUUGUUUUUGCAUUCUGUCUACUGUAAUAUAGCUUUUCCAUGGCUUAAUCCACUGAUAUAAAUUGAUAGUUUCAUCAAAACAAGUAAACUAUGCAUCAAAAACAGAACCUGUCAAAAACAGAACAGUCUGUAGCAAUAUGAACAUUCACCAUAAUUCAGGUACCCCAAAAAUUCUACCAAAGUUAGGAAAAAUAACCAAUUUGUAUAGAAAGACAGUGCAAAAAGAAUCAGAACCAUUUGACGUUCCAGUAAAAAAUGUAAAAUUGCACACUACAACGAAAGUUUCUGUUCUGCACCGCACAAACCAACAAGCAUUGUAAACAUCCUAAAGGCAAACCUUGGCACAUUAUUUUUAUAAUACAAUGGAAUUGUACAAGGGGAUAAUUAUUUUUGAUGAAAAUUUUCUGUAACUAAGAUUCAAAAAGUUUCCGUGAGCAUGAACAAAGUUCAAGGAGCUCUCCCACUUCAACAAUGCUUGUCUCUCUCACUUUCACUUUCCUUUUUGAAAAGGUUUUGAGUUCCCCUCUUUAUUUUUUUGUUUUUAGACUAUAUAAAAGCACUCAACAGAAAUAAAUGACUCUCUAAAACUUCUGGGUUGUCUCCCUUGCAGCGCUUUCUUUAAAGCCAUUAAGCUAGGCAUAUAGUGCUCAAGUAAUGGAUCCACCCGGAUCCCAAGGUAUAUCAAAGCCAAUUUUAAUUAACAAUGAUUUGUGAUUUAGUAGUGAGCACAAAGUAACAUAUAUCAUGUAAUGACGAAGUCUAACUCUCUUCAUAUGCAUCAGCAUGUCAUAAAAGAACAAUUCAUGCACACCAAGUAAAGGCCAAUGCAUAGUAUAAGCAGUUUCUUGCAAUUUUAUCAUAUUGGAAACAUAGAGAAGUGGAGAUAUAGUUCCCCUCUCAUAAUAAUUGCAAGUAGGAGCAGAAAGCACAUGCAUAUUACAUUCAUCAAAAUUAUCAUGUGCAAUGGUAAAAGUGUGACGCCCGGAUAAUCAAGCUACAAUAACCUCUGCUAAUGAUGCCAUGUCACCUCCGUUAUUGUCGCUAAUCUCGCGUUAGUUCAAAACGAUUCGAAUUCAAAUUUAAAUUUUUGGCAAACAAACAAAGUUUUCAAGAUUUAAAACAAAAAUGUUCGGACCAUGUCAAAUAUUGCAUAGAUAAUUAUGGUGAAGUAAACACAUUUUUAGAAAAUACAUAAAUAGUUUAAAUUGAAUAAAACAGAAAGGAAAAUAAAUAAAUAAAAUAAACAAAUGAAAGGAAAACAAAACAAAACAAAAACAACAGACCCCCCCCCCGCUGGGCCAAGUGGCCUAGCUGGCCUCCGCCGCACGAACGGGCCGGCCAACCGCCCCACACCCCCACUCCCUAUACCCACUGGGGCACCGAACCCUAGCCCCAUGACCACCACUCCCCUCCCACUCGUUCGCCCCCCCGAUCCAGAUCUGGAUCGGGGCUCGACGCCAGCCCCGCGCCGCCACGACUCCGUCGCCGCACGUCGUCCCCAUCCUCCCUCCUAGCCGGCUGAAACUAUGCCUGGAGCUUCACCGCACAAGACUGCUUCGACUGCGACUACCCGUUCGAGCUGAAGCGCUCUACAUCGUCCCCUUGCCUUCGUCUUCUUCUUCGGCAGCCGCCCGACAUCGCCAUCGAUUCGCCGCGCCUCGACCACCUCCGGCUGCCCCGAGUUGCUCCUCGUCAGCGACGUGAGCACCUCCUCCGUUCUCCACUGCCCCGCGAAGCGAUUGUGCCACGUAGCUCGUUCGUCUACACAUAGUGGCGACGUCGCCGUCCAAAUACAUGCCGUUGCCGCCUUCGGUCGUGGCCGUUGCCAACGACCCAGUGCACCCCCAUGAUGCCUGUCACCGUAGAUUGAUGCGUGCUGUCGCCCGCGUCCAGCAGCAGCUCCUCGCGGACCAAAUGUCCAUUGGGGGACCAAACCGGAGCCCUCGCUGCGCUUCUGCCAGCACCGAUGAGCCCCUGCUCGCGUCGUCGUGGUCCUGCCGCCGCUACGCCUCGCGUCCGCCUCUGCCUCGGCUUACGCUCGCCGUCGCCGCCACGCGCGCCUCCCCUGGCCGCUGCGCGCCGCCCCGCACCACCCCGGCCACCACUGCCGCCCUCACGGUCAACUUCGGCGCCCUGUCGGCCGUCGCUCGUGCGCCCGGUUCGCCCCGUCGGGUGCCUGGCGCCGGCGCCCGUUUAGUAAUCCGCCCGCAGUGCCCUGUGCCCGCUAAGGGCCCCUAUGGGCCUAUGACAAACGGGGCCCACGCCCAGAACAAAAAUAAUAAUAAUAAUAAAUAGAUAAGUAAAUAAUUAAAAUAUUAAUUAAUUAAUUAAUUAACUUAAUUAAUCCUGAUAGGUUAACCUAAUCACUAAGUUUAGUUAAUUAAUCUGUUAGGUUAGUUAACAGUCAAUGACAGCUGGGACCCACUGGUCAGGUUGACCAGUCAACCCACGUUGACUGCUGAUGUCAGCAUGACAUCAUGCUGAUGUCAUAAAUCCAUUUUUGAAUUAAUUUAAAUAAUUAAUUAAAUUCCAGAAAUUAAUAAAAUCUUUAGAAAAUCAUAUCUUUUAAUUCGUAACUCGGAUUAAAUUAUUUUCAACAUGAAAGUUGUUCAGAACGACGAGACGAGUCCAGAAACGUAGCCCGUUCGUCCGCCACACAUCCCUAACCUAUCGAACUCGCAACUUUCCCCCUCCGGCUCCUCUGCCCGGAAGCACAAAACACCGGGGAUACUUUCCUGGAUGUUUCCCCCUUCGCCGAUAUCACCUACCACUACGUUAGGUCGCCCCUAGCACCGCAUAUUGCCGCGUAUUGCUUUGUGUUACAUUUGAUUGCUCUGUUAUUUAUUGUGUUCCCCCUUCGUUACUUCUUUCCGGUAGACUCUGAGACCGAUGCCGAUGUCCGUGUGUUCGACUACACCGAAGAUGACCCCUCCUUGCCAGAGCAACCAGGCAAGCCCCCCCUUUGAUCACCAGAUAUCGCCUAUUCUUCUCUAUACUGCUUGCAUUAGAGUAGUGUAGCAUGUUACUGUUCGGUUACUCCUAUUCUGUUGCAUAGCCUGUCAUUAUUGCUACAGUCAUUGAUACCUUACCCGCAGUCCUAAAUGCUUAGUAUAGGAUGCUAGUUUGUCAUCAUUGGCCCUACAUUCUUGUCAGUCUGCCUUGCUAUACUAUUGGGCCGUGAUCACUCGGGAGGUGAUCACGGGUAUAUACUAUACAUACAUACAUACUAUACAGAUGGUGACUAAAGUCGGGUCAGCUCGAUGAGUACCCGCAAGUGAUUCUGAUGAGGGGGCUGAAAGGACAGGUGGCUCCAUCCCGGUAGAGGUGGGCCUGGGUUCCCGACGGCCCCCGACUGUUACUUUGUGGCGGAGCAACAGGGCAGGUUGAGACCACCUAGGAGACAGGUGGGCCUGGCCCUGUUCGGCGUUCGCGGAUACUUAACACGCUUAACGAGAUCUUGGUAUUUGAUCUGAGUCUGGCCACUGGCCUAUACGCACUAACCAACUAUGUGGGAAAGAUAUGGGCACUCGACGUCGUGGUAUCAGCCGAAGCCUUCUAGACGUCAGCGACUGAGCGGCGCGCGCCGGAUUGGAACGUAAGCCUGCUCUUGUAUAAGGGGGCUAGUUCUGCUUUCGGCCGCCCACGCAACGUGCAGGUGUGCAAUGGGCGAUGGGCCUAGACCCCUGCGCCAUAGGAGUUAGACCGGCGUGCUGACCUCUCUGUUAGGCCUAGGUGGGGCUGUGACGUGUUGAUCUUCUGAGGCCGGGCAUGACCCAGAAAGUGUGUCCGGCCAAAUGGGAUCGAGCGUGUUGGGUUAUGUGGUGCACCCCUGCAGGGAAGUUAAUCUAUUCGAAUAGCCGUGAUCUUCGGUAACAGGACGACUUGGAGUUGUACCUUGACCUUAUGACAACUAGAACCGGAUACUUAAUAAAACACACCCUUCCAAGUUCCACAGACAACCCGGUGAUCGCUUUUCCACAGGGCGACGAGGGGAGGAUCGCCGGGUAGGAUUAUGCUAUGCGAUGCUACUGGAGAUGCUACUUGGAGAUGCUACUUGGAGGACUUCAAUCUACUCUCUUCUACAUGCUGCAAGACGGAGGCUGCCAGAAGCGCAGUCUUCGAUAGGACUAGCUAUCCCCCUCUUAUUCUGGCAUUCUGCAGUUCAGUCCACUGAUAUGGCCUCCUUACACAUAUACGCAUGCAUAUGUAGUGUAGUUCCUUGCUUGCGAGUACUUUGGAUGAGUACUCACGGUUGCUUUCUCCCCCUUUUCCCCCCUUUCCUUUCUUUCUGGUUGUCGCAACCAGAUGCUGGAGUCCAGGAGCCAGACGCCACCGUCGAUGAUGACCCCUACUACACCGGAGGUGCCUACUACUACGUGCAGCCCGCUGAUGACGACCGGGAGUAGUUUAGGAGGAUCCCAGACAGGAGGCCUGCGCCUCUUCCGAUCUGUAUCCCAGUUUGUGCUAGCCUUCUUAAGGCAAACUUGUUUAACUUAUGUCUGUACUCAGAUAUUGUUGCUUCCGCUGACUCGUCUAUGAUUGAGCACUUGUAUUCGAGCCCUCGAGGCCCCUGGCUUGUAUUAUGAUGCCUGUAUGACUUAUUUAUGUUUUAGAGUUGUGUUGUGAUAUCUUCCCGUGAGUCCCUGAUCUUGAUCGUACACGUUUGCGUGCAUGAUUAGUGUACGAUUGAAUCGGGGGCGUCACAAAAAGGCAACCCAUCAAUAUAAUCCUUAAUAAGCACAAACUUCUCUGAUAUAGUGUAGUCGGGAGAAUUCAAAAGGAUAAUAGGACUAUCAUGCGUGGGUGCAAUAGCAACAAUUUCGUGUUUAACAUAAGGAACUAUAGCAAGUUCAUCUCCAUAAGCAUAAUUCAUAUUGGCAUCUUGGCCACAAGCAUAGCAAGUAUCAUUAAAAAGGUAUAUUUCUAGAGAAUCAACGGGAUCAUAACAAUCAUCAUAGCAAUCAUCCUUCGGUAAGCACGAAGGGAAAUUAAACAAUGUAUGAGUUGACGAGUUACUCUCAUUAGAAGGUGGGCACGGGUAGCUAAUCUGCUCUUCCUCCUUUUGUUCUUCGUUCUCCUCAUCAUCUUUUUCAUCCAAUGAGCUCACAGUUUCAUCAAUUUCUUCUUCCAUAGAUUCCUGCAAAAUAUUAGUCUCUUCUUGGACAGCGGAGACUUUCUCAAUAAAUGCAUCAAUAUUGGAAUUGUAUUCAUAAUUUUCAUAGCAAUAUCUAAGUAUAGCAAAAAUUUCAUGUCUGUAAACUGAAUCAUCAAAAUCUUCAAACUCGUUAAACAUAGAUUCAAUCUCAUAAGCAUCCAUAAAAGCAACGAAUUCUUCUAUUUGUUCCACAUCAUAGUAAUCAUAGAUACCAUUAGCAUAAGAAGCCAAGGUUUUAUUAUCAUUGAAUUUGCAUGAAAAGGGAAGGUGUGGAGACUUUAUCCUAGAGCAACAAGUAUAAUCAUGUCUCAAGCAUAGAUCCCGAGCAUACCAACGCAACAUACAAAUUUGAUCCCAUAAUAGUUUCCCUUUUUGUGUCAAGCAAUAAUCCCUAAAGUAUUCACGUUGAUCCAACGUGUCUCCCAUAACAUAAUUGAAUGGGGUUUUCUCAGAAUUAUCAAAGUAGUACAUAAUUUCUUUCACAUAAUGAGCAUCGAGGGUUUUAGGAGGUUCCCCAUCUCCAUGAAUAGCAAGUACACCUAAUUUUUUUGGUAUUUCAUGUUCCAUAUCCAUCACUGAAGAUAGAUAACAACUAAGAACAACAAAUAAAAAUUACUUAGUGAUAAAGCAAACAAGCACACACGAGAAUAUUCACCUCACGCUAUGACUCCCCGGCAACGGCGCCAGAAAAAGGUCUUGAUAACCCACAAGUGUAGGGGAUAAUUGUAGCCUCUUUCAAUAAGUAAGAGUGUCGAACCCAACGAGGAGCUAAAGGUAGAACAAAUAUUCUCACAAGUCCUCUACCACUGAUACGACUCUAUGCAUGCUUAGUGUUCGCUUUACCUAGAACAAGUAUGAAACUAGAAGUACUUUGUAGGUGUGAUAGGAUAGGUUUGCAAGAUAAUAAAGAGCACGUAAAUAAAAAGUAGGGGCUGUUUAGAUAAAGAAGCAAUAAAGUAAAUAUAAUGAGUGUGGAAAAGUGGUGGUAGGAGUUGUAAAAUUGCCCCUAAGCAAUUGACUACUUUACUAGACCGAUAGCAAGUUUUAUGUGGGAGAGGCAUAAGCUAACAUACUUUCUCUUCUUGGAUCAUAUGCACUUAUGAUUGGAACUCUAGCAAGCAUCCGCAACUACUAAAGAUCAUUAAGGUAAAACCCAACCAUAGCAUUAAAGCAUCAAGUCCCCUUUAUCCCAUACGCCACAACCCCCUUACUCGGGUUCAUGCUUCUGUCACUCAAGCAACCCACUAUAAGCGAAUCAUGAACGUAUUGCAAUACCCUACAACGGGAAUCUCUCAUGCUUGCGCGACACGGAGGGCACAAUAGGACAGCAGCAUAACCACAGGAAAAUUAAACCAAUCAUAGCAAUUCAUCAAUCACCGGUAGGACAACGAAAAUCUACUCAGACAUCAUAGGAUGGCAACACAUCAUUGGAUAAUAAUAUGAAGCAUAAAGCACCAUGUUCAAGUAGAGGGUGCAGCAGGUUGCGGGAGAGUGGACCGCUGAAUAUAGAUGGGGGAGGUGAUGGAGAUGUUGGUGAAGAUGAUGGAGGUGUUGGUGCAGAUCGCGGUGAUGAUGAUGGCCCCCGGCGGCGUUCCGGCGCCACCGGAAGCAAGGGGGAGAGCCCCCCCCCUUUUUCUUCUUCUUCCUUGACCUUCUCCCUAGAUGGGAGAAGGGUUUCCCCUCUAGUCCUUGGCUCCCGUGGCAUGGGAGGGGCAAGAGCCCCUCCGAGAUUGCAUCUGUCUCUCUCUGUUUCUGCGUUCUCAGAUUCUGCCCUUUCACCGUUUCUUUUAUAUCCGGAGAUCCGUAACUCCGAUUGGGUUGAAACUUUCGCUCAGAUUUUUCUCCGAAAAUUAGUUUUCUUAAAGAAAAGGAAGAGCGUCAACCGCCUUACAGAUGCCCACGAGGGUCAGGGGCGCGCCUGCCCCCUGGGACGCGCCCCCCUGCCUCGUGGCCCCCUCGGGCACUGUCUCACGUUGAUUUUUCUUCCCAAAAAUCAUAAAUAUUCGAAAAAUGAUCUCUGUCCGUUUUUAUCCCAUUUGGACUCCGUUUGAUAUUGGGUUUCUAUGAAACAUAAAACAUGCAACAAACGGGAACUGACACUGGGCACUGGAUCAAUAUGUUAGUCCCAAAAAUAAUAUAAAAAGUUGCCAAAAGUAUAUAAAGUUGUAGAAUAUUGGCAUGGAACAAUCAAAAAUUAUAGAUACAACAGAGACGUAUCACACCUUCGUCCACCAUGAGCUCCAAUCCAUGCCACAGCCUUUGCGGGUCCAUACGCCGCAACCAUUCCCAUUGCACCCUGAGUGCUAGCGCUUGUAGACUUAGAUUUUUCACCCCAAGACCAUCGAAGCAGGUUGGCUUACAGAUUGAACUCCAUGUCCCUAAGCAUUGGCCUCCAUUAACUCGAUCUUUUCCUGCCCAAAAGAACGCGCACAUCCUGCCAUCAAUGUCCUCCAAUACCCAUCCUGGAGCCUUCAUAACGAGCAAUUGAUGCACUGGUCUUGCUGCAAGCACCGACUUGACAAGCACAAGCCGGCUUGAUCUCUGCAAUAAACCUCUCUGCCAAGCCCGAAGCAGUGCCGAACUUGAUCUAAGAGAGGUUGCCAUUGCACCUUGGUGAGAUGCUUGAUGGCCAGCUACAACCCAAGAUAUUUGCACGGGAAUUCUCCAAUGGGGCACUGCAGUAGAUGCUCGACUCUUGCUUUAUUUUCCUGGUCCUGAGAGAUCAAGAUCGCCGAGGAUUUUUUUAGUUUACUCUCAGACCCGAAGCUUCUCCAAAUAGCUGUAACGCGACUCGGACAAAUAGGAGGUCUUAGGGUGUAGGUUUGACGAAUAAUGCCACAUCGUCCGCAUAUAUGGAUAGGCGCUGUGUCGCCGAGAUUCCCGUGAAGGAGCUCAAAACUCCAUCUGACAUGGCUUUAGAAAUCAUGGCCGUGAGGGCCUCCAUAGCGAUGACGAAAAGUAGAGGGGAGACCGGGUCCCCUUGUCGCGGUCCUUUUGCAUGCCAAAUUCUCCUUCUCGGAACCCCAUUAACCAGCACUCUGGUGCUCGAAGAUUACAACAGCACGACCAACCACCUGAGACAUCGACCUCUGAAUCCCUUGGCACAGAGCACUUCAAAUAAGAAAGGACAAGAUAAGGAGUCGAAGGCACGAGAGAUAUCCAAUUUGAGAAAAACACCUCUGUUCUUUCUGGCGUGUAUUUUCCUUGGCACUUGCUUCACUAACAGGUAGUUAUCAUGCAUAUUUCUGUCAUGGAUGAAAGCCGACUGGUUUGUGGCCACAAGGUCCUUCAUGCAAGGUCGGAUUCGAUUGGCCAGGAGCUUGGCGAACAGCUUGGAGAAGCUAUGCGGCAAACUGAUCGGUCGAUAAUCACCCACUUCCAGGGCAUCCGACUUCUUAGGUAUUAGCCCAAUUAGCGCACGAUUUAACCUUGCAAAUCCACGGUUAUCUCCAACGCAAAGCUUGAGAAGCGCUGCCAUAAUAUCAUCCUUGAUAAUAGGCCAUGCUCUUUGGUAGAACUCGACAGUAAAUCCAUCCGGUCCAGGAGCCCGAUCUAGGGCCAUCUCCUUGACAAAUGACCAAACCUCAUCGUCCGUGAAAAGCACAUCCAAACAGCCCAAAUCUAGCAUGGUCAUGCCCAGCGACUGUAGGUUUAGCAUGUGCACUCUGGCCUGAGCCGUGCCAAGCAAGUUAUAGAAGGCCUCUGUGAAAAUCUCUUCUUUACGGCUCUGGUCAGUGGCGAUCUCCUCACCUCGCCUGACCUGGGGUAUAAAGUUCUUUGCUUUCCUCCCGUUGGCAACUAGCUGAAAAAACUUGGUGUUGGCAUCUCCCUCACGGAGCCAUCUGUGUCUUGAUCUUUGCCGCUCGAUCAUGCGCUCAAGCGACGCAAGCCCCGGUAGAGCUAGCUUAAGGGUUCUCCUUAGCCACUUCUCCAACUCGGUGAGCCCUCUUGUUUCCAUCGCUUGAUCCAGGCGAUAGAUUACCAUCAUGGCAAUCGCCAUCUGUAGUUUAAUAUUCCCUACUUUCCUCUGUCCCCACGCUUGAAGUGUCGCCACUGCAUUCCAGAAGAGCGCAUCGGGUCUCUGAAAAGGAUCCACGAUGGACUGAUUGCAAACCCAUGCAUCCUUCACCGCCUGCUCAAAGCCCUCUAGCUUGGCCCAGAAACUCUUAGAGCGAAAUCUUUUCCUCGGCCAGUAAGUAGCAUUUGUCGAAAGAUGGAGUGGGGCAUGAUCAGAGACACUUGUCGAGAGUGCUUGCAAUAGAUAAUCAGGCCGUGCCAAUUCCCAAUCCACCGAGACGAGGAUCCUGUCGAUUUUUGUCAUUGUCGGAGCAUCUCUCUCAUUCGACCACGUAAAUCGACGCCCAUGCAUGUAAAGCUCUUUCAGUUCAUUAUUAUCGAUAAAGCUCCUAAACUUGUUCAUCAUGACCCUGUUAAGGUUCAUAUUGUUUUUCUCCGAGGCUCUAAGGAUUAAGUUGAAAUCACCCAAGACCAUCCAUGGCCCCGGGCAAGCCGCUCGCCUCGUCGUCAACUCCUCAAGGAAUUGCAUCUUGAGGUCAUCUCCUUGUGGUCCAUAGACCACCGUAACCCACCAAUCCUCCCCUGACUUGGGGUGUACCAGUCCAGUGAUGGAGUUCGUAUCACGUGAGAUGUGAUCAACAAGCAUCACGGUGGUGUCCGUGGCAAGGAUGAUCCCGCCUCUCGUAUCAACCGCCGGUAAAUAAGCAAGCCGUCUAAGGAUGGUCCACAACAUUGCAUUAAGAGAAAGUUGUCGACUACAUCGAGCUUAGUUUCUUGUAAGCACACUAGGCCGCACCGAAACUAGGAAAUCUUUGACCGCUUGCCUCUUCGCUGGAUUGUUCAAUCCUCGAACGUUCCAGCGCGUCACCGAUGGGUUUAAAUCCAUGGAACAGAUUUACACCCUCACCCACCUCGGAGCACGCUCAAUGUGCGCCGAUUCCCUCCACCGCUCUGGUACUAGCUCCAGGAUGCUGCCUACACAAAGCCUUGCUGAAUAGUGCUGCAAUCACACGAACGUGCUGCUCGCAUAGAGGAGAAUCAAAGAGCGCCUUGAGCUCUUGCACAGCUGUGUCCUCAACCUCCAGAUCUUCCGGCACAAUUCCCAGUGUGCGCACGAGCACAUUCUCCGCAAGUGUGGCUCUUGGCGUGAUCUGCGGGGCGAUUUCUUGGUUGCCCGAGUGGUUCUUUGGGGGGUGAAUGGUUCUGCCUCAAGCCGCAAGGUGGAAGCCUGGACUUCCUUGAGAAUUGGUGGUGCUAGCUUCUUCACAAUGCAUGAGCAGAAAGCCUUGAGCUUCACGUACAUCUCCACCUCCUUGGAUGUCAGUCCAUUGGCUGGGUCGUUGGCCAUCACAAUCUCCAAGCAUGUCUCCUUGGCGCCCCCUUCCACAAGCCUCUCAGCAGGCAUCUCUUUUUCUGCAUGCACAUCCGUUGGCAUGACUACAUGAAUAGUGUCACAUGCAAAGCUUGCAUGAGUCCCAUCAGGGUGGGGCCCGACCAACGUGUGAUCAUCCGUCGGCUGCAUGCCCUCCACUACCAGGGCCUGGACAGGUGGCACCACUGCUUGCUCCUCCACCAUGUGAUCAUGCCUUGGGUCCGCUGCAUCCUACUUAUCCACGAGCGUCGCGCCCUUCUCCGGAUUGGACGGAUCACCCCGCGAUGUCACAGGCAGAUUGGCUGCGCCGAUCGAGUGCCCAAUCGACUCUCUUCCUUGGGAUCCCAGCUCCCCUGCUUCGAUGGCCAUCGGCUCGAGGAUUGGCCCCAUCUUUUCCAAAGCGACAUGAAUCUCUGGAGCUGUCACCUGUGGCCCCGCCAGCAACGUUCCAGACUGGACGGCCACAGUGCAUGUGCCCACCACUUCCUCCCGCUGUCAUGUCGCCACACGCCCUUGCAGCCGGGGCGGGAGAAUAUCCAUCUGUAAGUGCAUCUAGUGCCACCCCUAGUUGGUUUUGGAGUAUUGACGACAAAGUUGGUUGAGGGACUAAUGCGUUUGUGAGAAUUGCAGGAUAACGCAGGUAGUGUCCCUCAUUGAUUCGGUUUACCUACCGGAGAUGACCCCUAAAAUUGUAUGAAGACAUUGAAGACAAUGGUGGUAUGAGAAGAUAUUCAUAUUGAAGACUAUGACAUGAGAAGACAUUGCGUGAAGACUAUGGAGCGCGAAGACUGUGUGGAUUCGUUGCUUCCUUUUCUUCUUUGUUGAGUCAUAGGAACCACGUACUGUUAAGUGGGGUCCAAGUGAACUAAGUGAGAGUGACUGAAGUGAUGCUCAACUCAAAUCCUAUGUCUUCGAGCGAAGACAAUGAGAGCAAACCUUAUCCAGAGCUGGAUGAGUCAGCUUUGCUUGUAGCCCAAGUAAAGUUGCCGCGUGUGUUUGAAAUCUGACCGUUGGAACACGUGUCAGUUCCUUAGUGACCCAGGGUCAUUUUGGACAAAUCAGGUCGGGUUGCCUAGUGGCUAUAAAUAGCCCACCCCUACACCAUAAAUUGGUGGCUGCUCAGAGUUUGUACACGGCUUUUGUCGUUUGAGAGCAACCCACCUUGAAGCAUUUGAGAGAGAGAAAAAUCCUUGCGAGGACAAAGCCCAAACACCCAGAGCCAAAGAGUGUUAGGCAUCACUGAAGUCUUUCUGUCUGUGUGACCUGAAGACUUAUUACACUUGAGGAUUGUGAAUCCUCCAGCCGGUUAGGCGUCGCGUUCUGAGCAUCCAAGAGUCAUUGUGGAUUGCCGGGUGAACGAAGUCUGUGAAGGUUCGGAAGUCUACCUUGAAGACUUACCAGAGUGAUUGGGCGAGGACUAAGUGUCCUUAGAUCAAGGGGAAUAAGGUGAAGACAUGGUCUUCUGAGUUGAAUCUCAGCCUCCCUAACCAGACAUACAGUUGUCACAGCAACUGGAACUGGUCCAACAAAUCCUGUGUCUUCAACAAGCAACUGGUUCUAUCUCUUCCCUUCUUUACUUUGAGUUUGUCUUCGUGAAGUCAUUGCUUAUCUGUCUUAUCUGAUUGACUUCAUUGCUUGACUACUAUUGUUGAUUGGCUUCAUACUAUCUUCCAUCCUGAUCCUACUACCUAGCUGCUAUUAGUCUUCGUACGUUAACGCUAUUGCAUACUUGACUAUGGCUUGCUUGUUGUAGUUUAUCUUCCGCUGCAUAUCAAUUAGGUUAUUUCUAUUGUUUGUCUUCGAAACUUCCAAGUUUUGAAGACUUUCAUAAAAAUUGCCUAUUCACCCCCCUCUAGUCGAUAACUAGCACUUUCAAUUGGUAUCAGAGCAAGGUACUCCCUUGUUCUGUGUGAUUCGGUUUAACCACCUGGAGUUUGGCUAUGUCGACUGCAGGGAUAAUCAAAGUCUCCGCUGCUUGCCCCGUGUUCGAUGGAACAGAAUAUCCCUACUGGAAGAAUAAGAUGCGCAUGCAUCUUAAAGCCAUUGAUGUCGACCUCUGGUAUGUCGUCAAGAAUGGCGUCCCCAAAACUGGUGAAGGUGUCACCCCUAUUGAUGUCAAGAAGUUCAUUCAACUGGACUCGACUGCAAAGAACAUCAUCUGUGGUCAUCUGACCAAAGGACAAUAUGGCCGUGUGAGUGCUCUGGAAACAUCAAAGCUAGUCUGGGACUGGCUGUCCAAGGUCAAUGAAGGCGUCUCUACACAGAGAGACCAGAGGAUCAGUGUUCUUCGCAAUCUCUUCAAUUGCUUCAAGAGAAACGACAAUGAAAAUGUCCAGCUCACGUUUGAUCGCCUCACUGAUAUCACAAAUGAACUUCAAGCUCUUGGCGCAAUUGAGAUUACCAAGCAUGAAAUCGUCAAGACACUGCUGAGAUCACUUGACAGCUCCUUUGACAUCCUUGCCCUCAUGAUGCAAGAACGUCCUGACUUCAAGACACUCAAUCCGUCUGAUAUACUUGAAAGGCUCAACACACAUGAGUUCCAGCUUUCUGAUAAAAGAGAUAUCUAUGGCCCCAACUAUGGCCGAACUCGUGCUUUGAAGGCAAAAGUUGUUUCCUCAUCUGAAGAAGAAGAAUCUGACUGCGGUUCUGACGAUCCUGAAGACAUUGGAAGGGAGCUUGCUAUGCUUGUGAAGAAGUUCCAAAAAUUCACCAAGAAGAAAGGCUUCAGAAAGUCUUCACGAUCCAGCUCAAGGAAUGAUGAAGCUUCCACCCAUGAUCAUAAGAAGAGAACCUGCCACAAGUGCAAGAAACCCGGUCACUACAUAUCUGAGUGUCCAUAGUGGGACAAUGAGAAGAAGAAGAAGAAAAGCAAGGAAUAUGAUUCCGAUGACAAGAAGAAAAAGAAAUCCUCAAAGUCUUCUAAGUCUUCUUCCAAGUCUUCAUCAUACAAGAAGAGCUCAUCUGGCAAGGCUCGUGCUUUUGUUGGCAAGGAAAUGGAUUCAGAGGAGGAGUCUGCUUCGGAGGAGGCGGAGGUGGAGUCUGGUGAGGAGUCUGACCCUGGCGUUGCAAGUCUGGCUCUAGCCACAACCUAUGUCGCCAAGUCCAUCUUCAACACUGAAGACAAUGACUUCCACACCAACGCUGAAGCUAAUGACGAAGACGAUCCUUCUCCCACCUACUGCUUCAUGGCACGUGGUGCCAAGGUAAAAUCACGCGAUGCUUACUUUCAAACAUCAAGUGAAGAUGACUCUGAUUGUGAAUCUAAAUCCAGCUACAAAACACUUGCUAAAAUUGCUACUGAACAACAAAGAGCUAUGGAAUAUACUCAAAAACUGUUAGACAAAAGCGAUGACCUGUUGGACGCGGAAAUGACACGUUCACAGUCCUUAGUUGAAGACAUAAAAAAUCUUCAUGCUAAGUAUCAAGAACUUGAAGGUCGUCAUGAAUCGCUCUCAACUACUUAUGAAAGACUCUCCUACGAUUAUCUUCAAAGGAAACAAGAGCUUGAGAAAUUAAGAGCGGCUCAUGAAGAUCUUCAAAAAGUGAAUGAGUCACUUCACGCUCAACAGAUCAGUUCCGCUCAGGAUGGAUUUGAACCACCAUGUCUAAAAUGCAUUGAGCGUGAUAACGCUACAUCUGUUGCUGAAUGUUCCACUGCUGCUACUGUUUCAUUGUCUUCACCUACUGAAGUGGUUACUAACUCCUCUGCGGAGGAUACCACUGCUGUUGCUGAUGAAAAUGCUAUGUUGAAGACAUUGCUUGAAACAGGGAUGUAUAAAAGUUUGAAGGGACAUCAGACUCUCUGUGAUGUCCUCAAAAAGCAGAUUCUGAACCAAAACCCUAGGAAAGAGGGUGUUGGGUUCGAAAGGAAAAUGAAUGUUGAUGGAUCGUACUGGAAGCCUGAGCAGUAUCCCAAAACCACAUGGGUUGCUGCAAAGGAACCUUCAGUGGAUCCAUCCACUUUAUCUGGCUUUACUUGUGCUAAUCCUAUUAUCAUUGAUGAAUCCUUUGAUGCAAACUAUAAACUGUUCAAAAAUCAGAAUGGUGAAGUGUUUGCCAGGUAUAUUGGUACUAACUGCAGGAAUGGACCGCUAAUGAAGAAGAUCUGGGUUCCCAAAAGCUGUCUUGAGAAUCUUCCUGUGAAUGUUGUCAUGACACCACCAGGGAAGAAGACAAACCCCAGAUCAAAGGCAUCACAUGGUCCAACGGCUUCAUACGGAAACAGGACUCACCUGAGUCACCCUAACGCCAAUGUUUUGCAGGGAAAUCACACUCAAACUUAUGAAUAUGAGUGUGUGUCUUCAAACCGCUAUGUUCACAAUACUAAGAACUUUUCUGCUUAUUCAUAUGAGUAUCAUUCAUCUCCUGCAAGGCUAUUUGCUAGGGCUUCAAAGCCGAAAUUUUCAGAUGCUGCACUUAGACUCAUUGCUUCUAAGCCACCCCUAAAGAUGUGGGUGGUGAAGAAGAAUUAACUCUCUUUUGCAGAACAUGGUCUCCAGCCAGCAAUCAAAGGCGUCCGAUAUUAUUGCUGGGGACCUAAAACACAAAGGGACGCAUGAUAAAAUGACUUACUAUGUAUUCCACAUAUGAUUCGCUUACCUGUCAUACUUGUGCUAACUUUCAUCUAUGCUGUGAUAAUCCACAUGUGCAUCAAAUGCUUAUGCUUCACAACAUACCUUGUGAAGCCUAUCCUCCUAACUGCACUGUAGGGCAUGUCACAAAAAGCUUCAGAAUGGAUUAUUGACAGCGGAUGCACUAAUCAUAUGACUGGUGAUCGAAGUCUUCUCAUGGACUCAACCUUACGUCCAUCCGACAAGAGUCAAAUCACAUUUGCUGACACUGGUAAAAGCAAAGUAUUGGGUCUAGGUAGAGUUGCAAUCUCUAGGGAUCAACACAUGGAUAAAGUGAUGCUUGUUGAAUCCCUUGGAUUCAACUUAAUGUCUGUCUCAAUGCUUUGUGACUUAAACAUGAUUGUGAUAUUUGGAAAAUAUCGUUGCCUUGUACUAAUGGAAUCUAACAAGUCUCUAGUCUUUGAAGGGUAUAGGAAAGGUGAUCUAUACAUGGUAGAUUUCUCAGCAGGUCCACAGCUUGCCGUAUGUCUUCUUGCAAAAGCUUCAGAAUGCUGGCUCUGGCAUCGCAGGCUAGGGCACGCUGGCAUGAGGAACUUGCACACUCUCGUCAAGAAGAAGCAUGUCAUAGGCAUCGAAGGUGUCAAGUUCAAGAAAUAUCAUUUGUGUGGUGCUUGCGAAGCUGGGAAGAUGACAAGGGCCAAGCAUCCCUCGAAGACAAUCAUGACAACAUCUCAACCCUUCGAGCUGCUACACAUGGACUUAUUUGGACCUACUCACUACUCCACCCUCACAACAACGACGUGUCUCUAUGGCUUCGUCAUUGUUGAUGACUACUCAAGAUAUACAUGGGAGCACAUAAUUCUCUACAAGACUGAAGUACAAUAUGUCUUCAGACGAUUCGCCAAUCGAGCAAUGAAAAAUUAUGGCGUCAAGAUCAAGCAUAUCAGAAGUGAUAACGGCACUGAAUUCAAGAACACCGACCUUGAUCUUUAUCUGGAUACAAUGGGAAUCACUCAUGAAUUUUCUGCUCCUUACACACCUCAACAAAAUGGCAUUGUUGAGCGCAAGAAUAGAACCCUCAUUGAGAUGGCUUGAACAAUGCUUGACGAGUACAAGACACCAAGAAAAUUCUGGCCUAAAGCAAUUGAUACUGCAUGUCACAUCAUCAACCAUGUUUACAUCCACAAGCUUCUGGGCAAAACAUCCUAUGAGCUCCUUACCGGCAAGAAGCCAAAUGUCAGCUACUUCAGAGUCUUUGGUGCUAGGUGCUGGAUCAAGGAUCCCCAUCACAAGUCAAAAUAUGAACCCAAAGCUCACGAAGGCUUCAUGCUUGGCUAUGGAAAGGAUUCACACUCUUACAGAGUCUUCAACCUCUUCCACUACAAAAUUGUUGAAACAGUGGAUGUGCGAUUUGAUGAAACCAAUGGUUCACAACGAGAGCUCCUGCCAAACACACUUGAUGAAGCUCCUUCCAGUGAAUCUAUCAAGCUGAUGGGAACUGGUGAGAUCAUGCCCUCUGAAGCACAACCUGAAGAGGAACUUAUCAUUUCUGCACCAAACCAACCUGAAGAUAAUGCUCAGACUGAAGACAAUACUUCCAAUGAUGACAAUGAUCAGCAUGAGCAAGGUCUUCGUCCAGUUCAUCCUCGUGUUGCAAAUGAAGUAAAAAUUGAGAAGAUAAUUGAUAGCAUCAACGCACCUGGUCCUCUUACUCGAUCAAGAGCAACACAUUUAGCAAAUUUCUGUGGGCAUUUUUCAUUUGUAUCAAUAUCUGAACCCAAGAAAGUUGCUGAAGCCUUUAUGGAACCUGAAUGGAUUCAAGCCAUGCAAGAAGAACUUCAACAGUUCAAGCUGAAUAAUGUUUGGGAACUGGUCAAGCGCCCUGACCCUCGCAAGCAUAACAUAAUUGGCACAAAAUGGAUAUAUCGGAACAAACAAGAUGAGCAUGGUCAAGUCGUUAGAAACAAAGCACGUCUUGUGGCUCAAGGAUAUACUCAAGUUGAAGGAAUUGACUUUGAUGAAACAUUUGCUCCUGUUGCUAGACUUGAAGCUCUUCGCAUACUGCUAGCCUACGCUAAUCAUCAUAACAUCUUGCUAUAUCAAAUGGAUGUAAAGAGUGCAUUUCUCAAUGGCAAGAUUGAAGAAGAAGUAUAUGUCGCACAACCACCUGGCUUUGAAGAUCCAAAACAUCCUAAUAUGGUGUACAAGCUAAACAAAGCACUGUAUGGCCUCAAACAAGCUCCUCGUGCCUGGUAUGAUACAAUCAAAGACUUCCUGAAGAGCAAAGGCUUCAAACCUAGAUCCCUCGAUCCCACACUCUUCAUGAGGACAUAUGAUGGUGAACUGUUUGUGUGCCAAAUAUAUGUGGAUGACAUAAUCUUCGGCCGCACCAACCAGAAGUACAGUGAUGAGUUUGGGUACAUGAUGCAAGAGCAAUAUGAAAUGUCCAUGAUGGGUGAGCUGAAGUUCUUCCUUGGUCUUCAAAUUCGUCAGCAACGAAAUGGCAUCUUCAUAUCUCAAGAAAAAUACCUCAAAGAUUGUCUAAAGAAGUUUGGAAUGGAAGACUGCAAAGGCUACACGACGCCAAUGCCAGCCAAACACCAUCUUGAUCCCGACGACAAUGGUAAAGAGUUCGAUCAAAAGGUAUACAGCUCCAUGAUUGGUUCUUUGCUUUAUUUAUGUGCAUCUAGGCCAGAUAUUAUGCUUAGUGUUUGCAUGUGUGCUCGAUUCCAAGCGGCACCUAUGGAAUUGCAUCACUUAGCUGUGAAGCGAAUUCUUCGAUAUUUGGCUUACACCCCAACACUCGGAUUAUGGUAUCCCAAGGGCUCAAAAUUUGAUUUGGUUGGAUUAUCGGAUGCUGAUUAUGCUGGUGACAAGGUGGAUCGCAAGUCUACAUCAGGCACAUGUCAUUUUCUUGGUCGAUCACUUGUCUGUUGGUCUUCAAAGAAGCAGAACUGUGUAUCACUCUCAACUGCUGAAUCUGAAUACAUUGCUGCUGGAUCCUGUUGUGCUCAGCUUCUAUGGAUGAAGCAAACUCUCAAGGAUUAUGGCAUCAACCUGAAACAAGUACCUCUCUUCUGCGACAACGAAAGUGCCAUCAAGAUAGCCAACAAUCCAGUCUAGCACUCGAAGACAAAGCACAUUGAAAUACAUCAUCACUUUCUUAGAGAUCAUGUUAUGAAGAAAGAUAUAGAUAUCAUGCACGUCAACACUGAAGAGCAACUGGCAGAUAUCUUCACAAAGCCCUUGGAUGAGAAAAGGUUUUGCAAGUUACGGUGUGAGCUAAAUAUCUUGGAAUCCCCUAAUGUCCUGUGAUCAGGCACACAUCCUAACACUUAUGCAUGUUGAUGACUUAGAUGUGCAACACACAAAGUAAGGUAUAUCUUCAAUCAAUGAAGAUUUACACUCUGAGUGUGAAUACAUUAACAUGGAAUUUGACUUCGGAGCGCCACAAUAAUUGUGCACCGUGUCUGGGUCUAAUACUUCCUAUACGGUGGGUAACGCCACCACCAAAUUUCUCUGUUUGAAGUGUUUCACUCAUGGCGUUACUUUUGCAAAGACUUCGCAUUUGGUUUGUCUUCAGUUUCUAUUUAUCUUCAUGAUUUUCUGUGCUAUGAUGAGUUGAUUGCACACACAUAUAUAUAUAUAUAUAUAUAUAUAUAUAUAUAUAUAUAUAUAUAUAUACAUACUAGCGUUCUGUCCUCUACAUCAUUCACUUAUAGCUAUGUCUUCAAGUUGAAUCUUUUGAACUAAGUGAAUGUGAUCGGACCCUAACCCCUCUAUGCUUUCUAUCUCAAACUCUAUCUGUCCAAAUCAUAUGCAUUCUAUUGAAACUGUCGAAUGUCUUCUCUGUGUCCUAGUCAGCAGAAGACACAGAGACAAACAUCAAGUCCUAUUUAAAUGAUUCAUCUUUAUUGUCUAUAUCCGGAGAAGCCGGAACGAACAUCCGACAAACUCGGCGGGCGUGGGAACGUGGGACAACUCUAUGUAUGUUGCAUGCUUGCCACGUGUCCCACAGAUGUGAACAGACAGGGGCACCUGCGUAAUUGCGCUGUGCUGCACACCUACUUAUAAAUACGUGGCCCCUGCGGUCAAGAAAACCUUCUUUCACCUCUCCACCUCGUCAAAACCCUAGCGCCACCGCUAGCUCUCGACGACGCCAGCGACGAAGCGCUUAGCUGCCGCGACUUCUCCGACGCCGUCCUCACGCCGGCCGCGGACAUCGUCCUCUCCGCCGUCGCCGUAGGUGUCCUCCGUCGCCAAGUUAGAGCACGGUGGGCUGAACUGCUCGGUUUCCUAUACUUCCCAUCUAGCAGUUCGUCGUGCAGUAAUUAUAACUCUAUUUUUACCACCUUUUUGAUCUUCAUAGUUUCAUCCUACUUACCGAAAGUGGUUUCUACCUACUCAAUGUUAGAUCUAUUCUGUCUGCAUCUCAUAAUGCCUAGUCUAUUCACUUAGAUUUCCUAUCUAAUUUGAUUCCUCACUUGUACUUAUUCACGGAUUGGUACAAAUCUGGAACCAACUCACCACAUAUAAGUGAAUGUCUUCGCAUCAUGAGGUCAAUGUCUUCAAACUGAUUUAUCUUCAAAAUCUUCUGAGAAUGCAUAUGACCUCUUCCCCUUCCCUCACAUCUCUAAUGCUGUCACAGGUACAUGUCCGUGGGAGAAUCCCUUUGUUCUCAUAGUCUGCAUUCGUUUGCAGAAUACUUACAGCAUCAUAUCAAUUCUCCUGAAGCCAGUUCCUGUCUGACCAGCAAGCGAAAGCCUUUGAAGCCUUUGAACAUAUUGAAACCGUUCAGUUUGAAGUUCAUGGCUACGGAGAAAUCUGUCAGGAAGGGUGGCAGACAACGUCGUGGGGGAACUUCAAAGGAUCUGCCUGAUGAUCUGGCAGAAAUGUAUAAAACAGAUCCUAAAGAAGAUUACAAUCAGCGCAAGACUCGAAUCCAAUGGAUUCGACGCUAUUGGGCUGAACAGUGGUACAAGUACAAGUUCGUCACUCAGGAGUAUGCAGAGAAAAAUGCUAUCAAGAGCCCUUGGGGUGAUAUUCUCUAUCGAGGCCUUCCCCCCAAGAACAAAGCUGAAGCCAUUGCGCAAGAAUUCUAUCCUUGCAUGGUCCGUGGACCAUAGCCUGAAGAAGCCGACCCAACAUCAUUGCUCUGGUGUCGUGACGACAAUCUCUUCAAGCGCAACCUCCAGUUUGCUAAGGCUUCGGCAAAGGAAAACAAGAAGUCAUGGGGAUUAGACUUCAAUCCUGGCCCCUCUGCUCCCCGUGAGGAUGGCACACGUGAAGUUGAAGAAAACAGAAUUGGCCCCUUUGCAAACCUUGAUGGUCUCAUCUCCUACAUCAAGGUACAAGGUGCCAAAGUGGAUCAUUCUGACAAUGAGGCUGAUUCUGAUGAAGCCCUAGCUCCUCCUCCAAGGCCGCAGAAGCCAAAGAAAAUUAAGGCUUCAUCAUCAGCUACACCUCCAAAAGCUUCUCGUGUGAAGCCACUGGCCACUGCACCUCCUGAAGCCAGUGUGCAGUCUGAAGAUCAAUCCCGCAUCUCCAAGAAGACGGAGAAGAAAAAGCAACUUUUUAGGCAUACUGAUCAAGCCUUGACUCCUGCCGCCAUUCUGCGCGAAGAACCCAUUGAUCUGUCAAGUGAUGAAGAUCUUGCUGAUGAUGCUCUUGAGCAGCUGAUAAAGAGAAAGGAAGAAGCAGAAAUCUUCAACAACUUGCCUCUCUUUGAUGUGGCCAUCAUCCACAAUUUCAUUGAUGAGUGGUUCGACACCCCCAAUGUCAGCUUUGAAGAUUUACAACUUCCCAUUGGCCUCAGCGUCUCUUUCAAUGGCGCCAUUGCUUCUGAGCUGGCUCUCGCUCAGCGAAUCGUUGAGCUCAAGAACAAGAUUGAUUAUGAGAAGGCUCACUUCAAGAAGCAUGUGGCCAAGCUAAGUGUUCAAGACGUCCAAAACUUCAAGGUCAUGCUGCAUGAGCUUAAAGAAGCUUUUCUGAAGAAGUGUCAAGAAGCUCAAGGCUCUCGUGAGCGCAUGAAGAGUUUGGCCGAUAAGUGUGUGCUUGCCUACAAUGAGGCUGAGAAGCGCAAGUCACUUGGCCAUCCUGGCAUUGACCCCAGGAUGGCUGCAAAGAAAAAGAAGAAGCUUCCUGCUGACCAGCCUGCACCUUCAAGCCAAGAAGCCCCUUGCAUUAUCUUCUCGAGCAGCAUGACUGGCUCGAAGCCAAAGGUCACCACAACCGCUUCAGAACAAAAGAAGACGAGGGCUGCCGAGGCUGAAGCCAGAAAGAGGAAGAACACUGAAGCCUCUGAUGCCGCUCCCUCCAAGAAGAAUCGCAAGACGAAGAAGACUAGGGCUGCUUCCACAGAGCCUUAGUUGUUGAACCCAUUUCAGUGGUUCGCCCAGCGUCUGAACAUCACGAACGAAGAAUGAUAGUCCAUGAGCCUGCUUCCAUAGAGGCUCAUGAAGCUGAAGAUAUUCCAGCAGCUGAACCCACGGCUGCUGAAGACAUUGGUCAUGAUGACAAUGUAGCUGAUGAUGAAGUUCUUCCUCAGAUCGAACAUGACGUGGUAUCAUCGCCUGUUCAUACGAACAGCGAACUCAUCAGCAUUGGUCGUCCACUGAUGCCAAUUGCUCAGGAUGCAUCGUGGGCUGGUCACCCACAACUACAAGACUCCCCCAGUACUCCCCAACAACAACAACAAGCUACACCUCCCGUGCAAGAAGAGGAUGAAGACUUUCAGGCCCAGCCAACUCCAUCUCCCAAGGCGUUGCCAGCAUUUCGCAAGCUUCGCAAAGGACAAAGGCCUCAAGUCCCUCUGUCGAGCGUUCCAGAAGGAGAAGUGCAAUGUUCACCUAUCGCACGUCAAGUAUUUUUUGAACCUGCUCCAACUGUGAAUGUCUCCGAGUCUGCAGCACAUACUGCUGAAGACAUUCUGGCUGCAUCAGCCGAAGAAAAUCAAGAAGAAGUACGUGUAUCUACUCCCCCAGCAAUUGAAGAAGAAGCAGUUCCUGAUGUGAAUGUGUCUGUGCCCGACCCUCCUGUUCGUCAAGAGGAGGUUGACAAUGUUGAGGCUGCCACCGCCAACGCCAAUGAAGCCAAUGACGUAGUCAUGGCUGACGCUAAUGUGGAGCUUGCACCAACUAGUGUGCCUGAAGCAAGUGUGGCCACUGAACCUGAAACAACUGAGGCUGUUGCACCUGAAGCCAAUGAGACAAUCGCUCCCAAAGCACCUGUUGUGCAGCCUGACGCCUCAACAGCUGCCCCUGCUCCUGUUCCGCCACCAAGGCCUCACACAAUUGAGCAAGCAUACAGUCAUGGUCAGCUUACCACUGUCCGAUGCCCCAUUCUGGAGCCUCCGCCUACUGCCUCAGGACCUCAAUUUGACUAUCAUAUUGAGCAUAGGCCUCAGGUCCAGAAGCCAAAGCCUAGGUUGCCAAGGUUUCCAGGUACUGCAAACUCACCAGGGUCCUUUAAUGCCAAUGGCUUCAAAAGCCACAAUACCUUCUUUGACAGCGCCAAGAACCCCUACUCCAAGCCAAGGAUAUCAUCAGAUCGGUUCUGGAGCUAUCAGCAGAGAAGCUAUUACUCAUGCGUACUAUAUGAUCAAGGGCGCAUUUUCCCUCAUAUGCGCCUUGAUACAGAAGCCAUUGUUGGACUGCCGUGCUUAGAAGAAGCACUUGAUUACUUUCGUGAUGCUGGUCUGCUCCAUUUUGUGACAGACAAAGAACAUUGGAAUGAAGAGCUAUUGCUUCAAUUCUAUGCUACUCUACACAUUCGCGGCUACUACAGAGACAUCAAGACAUGGGUUCUCGAGUGGAUGACUGGAAAUGUUCAUCAUGAAGCCAAAGCUAUGGAUAUCAUUGAGCUUAUAGGGCUAGCCACUCCUGGAGAACUAUAUGAACCUGACUGUCAGCUACACCGCGAUGCAGUAGAGAGUAUCUUCCAUAAGCCAGAACCCAAUAUGAGCCAGAUGUUGAGCAUGAUGAAGCCCUUGCCAUCUGACGCUGAAUAUCCAACAGAUUUCUUUGUUGAAGACCUUGAGUAUCUGCCUCGCACCAUAUAUCAUAUCAUCAGGCGAACUCUAUGGCCUGUCAAAGGACAUUCAUCAGCGGCCAAGCUUGAAGGAGCUAUGAAGACUUUGGUCUUCUAUGUUCUCAAUGGCAUCAGCUUCAACACUCAAGAGUUCUUCAUCACGCAACUUGCUGCUUCCGGCUCUGACCUAUUUGGUCUGAAGUUUUAUGCUCCAUGGGUCAUGCGCCUCAUCAAGAGACACUCAUCUGUCAACUAUCAGCCCUCUACUCGCAAUCAUAUGAUCCUUCGGCCAGAGGUUGAUAUGUCAGUUGAAGCUAUAUACUCUGACCCUGCCAAGAGGCCUCUUUGUCUUCAGAAUGCCGAGCACCAAAGCUUCACUCAGCCUAUUGAAGGUGUUCAAGCAGCGACACGAAUCUAUCCAUUGGCUGGAAACACUCGUCUGCCUCAUCGAGCACCCACUGAAGCCACUGAAAGCACCAUUGCACAAAGGCCUUGGAAGCGUUCUCGCGUUCUCAAUGACCGAGAACUUCUUGCGGCCCUUCAUCAGAAACAGGAUAAGCAUCAUUUCUGGCUCAAGAGAUAGAUGCAAAGCCUCUUGGUGGAUGUCAAUCGCAUUCGCAACCUUGCCACCAAGAAUGCCUUUGUUGCUCAUGAAACUUGCCGGCGAUCAUGGAAGAGUUUGACCCUGCUCAGUGCUGAAGCUGAUCUUCAAGACGAUGGCUUCACUGAAAGAUUCCAGUUUGACUCCACUCCUCCACGGACUGCUGUCCUGCGUCGUACUCCAUCUCUUGAAGACUCUGAAUAUUCUUCCUCCGCAGCAACGGUAAAUGCCAGAGUGAUCGAUGAUGAAGAUGAUGCUACUUCACCACCUCCUACUACUGCGCGCAUCGACACUGCACCAAGUUCAUCUGCACCGCCAACCAACGAUGAUAACCCUGCUGCUUCACCUGCUCAUGAGAACGAGUAGAUGCUCUAUGUCUUCAAACCUUUUUGGUCCUUACUGACAAAACGGGGAGAAGCGCAUGAGUUGACAGUCUUCAAGCGGGUUCAUAUGGGCGGUUGCAUUAUAUUUUGCCUUGUGCUUACAACUCUUGCUUUUUAAAACAUUUGGUUCUUUGAGUUGUAACACCUAAACUUGAUGGUCAUCUGCUACUUAUUUGCUUUACUAUGAUGCGACGAUAAAUUCCGCACGUGCGAUGAUAACUUCCGCACUUAGAUAAUUCUGCAGACGUCCAUUUUUCAUUAUGCAUGUCAUUCUAUUUGCUAUAUCAUUUCAUGCAUGAUGAAUUAUCUUCAUAAGUUGAAGUGGAUCUCCACAAGUACAACCUGCCAUGUGCAUUUGCAUUCCAAAAGCAAAUUACUUAUAUGCACAUCUUCAGGGGGAGCCCUUGCUACUUAUGAAGACAAUUCCCUAUCCUUUACAAUUUCACAUACUUUAUCCCCAUUGAAAACUUCAACCAGUUUGUCAUCAAUCACCAAAAAGGGGGAGAUUGUAAGUGCAUCUAGUGCCACCCCUAGUUGGUUUUGGAGUAUUGACGACAAAGUUGGUUGAGGGACUAAUGCGUUUGUGAGAAUUGCAGGAUAACGCAGGUAGUGUCCCUCAUUGAUUCGGUUUACCUACUGGAGAUGACCCCUAAAAAUGUAUGAAGACAUUGAAGACAAUGGUGGUAUGAGAAGAUAUUCAUAUUGAAGACUAUGACAUGAGAAGACAUUGCGUGAAGACUAUGGAGCGCAAAGACUGUGUGGAUUCGUUGCUUCCUUUUCUUCUUUGUUGAGUCAUAGGAACCACCAUACUUUUAAGUGGAGUCCAAGUGAACUAAGUCAGAGUGACUGAAGUGAUGCUCAACUCAAAUCCUAUGUCUUCGAGCGAAGAUAAUGAGAGCAAACCUUAUCCAGAGUUGGAUGAGUCAGCUUUGCUUGUAGCCCAAGUAAAGUUGCCGCGUGUGUUUGAAAUCUGACCAUUGGAACACGUGUCAGUUCCUUAGUGACCCAGGGUCAUUUUGGACAAAUCAGGUCGGGUUGCCUAGUGGCUAUAAAUAGCCCACCCCCUACACCAUAAAUUGGUGGCUGCUCAGAGUUUGUACACGGCUUUUGUCGUUUGAGAGCAACCCACCUCGAAGCAUUUGAGAGAGAGAAAAAUCCUUGUGAGGACAAAGCCCAAACACCCAGAGCCAAAGAGUGUUAGGCAUCACUGAAGUCUUUAUGUCUGUGUGACCUGAAGACUUAUUACACUUGAGGACUGUGAAUCCUCCAGCCGGUUAGGCGUCGCGUUCUGAGCAUCCAAGAGUCAUUGUGGAUUGCCGGGUGAACGGAGUCUGUGAAGGUUCGGAAGUCUACCUUGAAGACUUACCAGAGUGAUUGGGCGAGGACUAAGUGUCCUUAGAUCAAGGGGAAUAAGGUGAAGACACGGUCUUCUGAGUUGAAUCUCAGCCUCCCUAACCAGACGUACAGUUGUCACAGCAACUGGAACUGGUCCAACAAAUCCUGUGUCUUCAACAAGCAACUGGUUCUAUCUCUUCCCUCCUUUACUUUGAGUUUGUCUUCGUGAAGUCAUUUCUUAUCUGUCUUAUCUGAUUGACUUCAUUGCUUGACUACUAUUGUUGAUUGGCUUCAUACUAUCUUCCAUCCUGAUCCUACUACCUAGCUGCUAUUAGUCUUCGUACGUUAACGCUAUUGCAUACUUGACUAUGGCUUGCUUGUUGUAGUUUAUCUUCCGCUGCAUAUCAAUUAGGUUAUUUCUAUUGUUUGUCUUCGAAACUUCCAAGUUUUGAAGACUUCCAUAAAAAUCACCUAUUCACCCCCCCUAGUCGAUAACUAGCACUUUCACCAUCGGAUCCUUCACCAACGUUCUGCCCCAAACCACUUGCUCCUAGGCCACCACCAAUUGUGCGGCCAUUGUUCCUCCGAUCUCGUUUGAAUUCUCAACAGCCUUUCUGUUUGAAGCUUCCUGAUUGGCCUGACCAGUCAAACGCUUGAAAGCAGACAUGCGCCGCGUCAGCCUGCUUAGGAUAGGGACAACUGGGGCCUCCAUCGCAGCGACAGGUGGGGACUCCAUGGGGGGGAGGCGCCAGUCAUGCCCCGCUGGUCUGGACCAGGCCCCACCCCCUUCUCCGACGGUGAUGCCGCCGUGACCGCCGACGCGGACAUCCGGAACGCCGAACUGCCAUGCCAGCCUGCGCGGCCUCGGCCCACCGCCCGUGAGGUUGCCAUCGUCGUUGUCUGGAAGGCCACUUUGGCCACUGUUUGAUGAGCUCCCAAAGAACCACGGCUCGCCGGCCUCCCUCAAGUCCAUGAUCAUGUCGAUGUGAAUGAGAACCUUAUAUUGCAGGAGGGCGGGCGGCGCCUCCAUGCCCGGCUCCGGCACAGCCAGCCACCGAAGUAUGGGGAUGUCUUGUGGGUUCGCCGUCCAUGCCGUGAGCUUGAACGAGGACAAGUCGGAGCGAGAAGCCGUCUCUGGUGCCACCGCCUCGACCUUGCAAGAAGACCCGAGCAACUCCUCCACCACGGAGCGAUCCCAUGCAUGAGGGGGGAUGCCCUCAAUUUCCAGCCACACCUUGAAACUAAACACCGAAUGAACUGCAUGUGAUUGUCGAUUCCACAACCUAAAGAUCAGCAUGUCUCCUUCGAACUCCACUGAAGGGCAAGCCGCCACUCUGUUCCGCACAUCCGCAAAAGCGAAAACCACCAAAAAAUCCUUUGGCAUGUAGCAAUGCACUAACACGAGCUCUGGGGCAAUGUCCAGCUUCCCGGCGAGGAUCUCCUUCACGCGCGCCAGCGCAAGCACCCUCCUUUGGCCGCCCACAUAGGCCACCAUGGCGUACUGAAGGCGACGCUCCAAAUCGGACACCACCGCGGAACGCCUAACGACGCAUAGCUCCGCGGGCGCCUCGACAGCCCUAGCCUCCACUUGAAGUCGCGGCGGUGCCAGAGGUGGCCACGCCGACUCGACACCCAGAGCCGCGGGCUGGGUCGCCGGGAACUGGCUAGCGCUGCUAGGCACCGCCACGUGCGCCGGGCACGGGGAUGGAGCAGAGCGACACGCCACCUUGGCCACCGCCUCCCUGCGCAGAUCAUCCACCGACGAGGGGCUUCUCGGCCGCUUGCAGUCCUUGGAGCCAUGGCCGGGCAAGCCGCAUCUAAAGCAGACGAUCUGGUUGGUGCACUCGUUCUUGUAGUGGCCCUUCUCCAAACACUUGAAGCAUUUGUCUCUCAUCUCCGGCGAGACCUCAACGACCGGCGACGCAGGCCACGCGGGGGCCCAUGCAUGACCGCUCGGGCCGUCGGGGGAGUGCCUCAUCCUCCAAAGCUCUUGAGGGAGGCGGGCGCACCCACGGGGCCUGCACCGGCCCAGGGGCGGGGGCCUCGUCCACCACCGCGUCCGGGCCGCGAGCAUCCGAGCCCUCGGAACUGGACGAGAUCCCCAGCCCGACACCACCGGGCGCUCCCCCUGCGGACGGAACGACGAGGUCACAAGGAGGAAACGGGGCCGGGAGGAGAGACCGGCGGCAGCGAGAGAGGUGGUCGCCGCAGUCGAAGUGGCUGCGGCGAGAGCGCCAGCGCAGUGGACGCCGGCGCCGGAGUGGCGCACGACGGGAGGGAGCGGGGAGCAGGGGAGCGAGGGAGUAUUUUUAGUCCUACCCUCACAAGUCACAACAACCUCCCCCGCUAAAAGAAAUCGCUCGAUGGAGCUGGCGUCACCCCGUCAUCGCCAGUUGCAGCACCCAGCGGCGGUCGCCCCAACUCGCCUCCGCUCCACAACCAACACCCACUGGUUGUACCAUCCCUCACCAUCGGUUGUAGCAUUCCUUAACCACCGACUGUAACAUCCAUCGCCUCCUAUUAGAGCAAAAAAUCCUUGUGUGCCACGGCCCCAACGCAACGGGUUUGGCUCCUCUGCAGUCAAGUACUUACUGUACCAGUACUGUAGCAGGUGAAAUCGGUCGUCCGUUGCAAUCUGAUGGCUAUCCUUCGUCUUCCUCCCCUCUCAGUCUUUGCAGAAAUUGAGGAUCCCAAAUACCACCACGCCAACGGCCGUCUGAAUUGCACCGGUAAGGAAGCGGACGUAGACACCGAUGGUCCCACAUGCAUGGCUGGGAUCCGUAGGCCAGAGCUCCAUCCAGUUUCACAAAAGGUACGAGUCCCCGCAGCCCCGCUACCCUACGUCCGCUUGUCCCUUCCCAGACAACCCCAUGUCCUGGUGGGAGACCUUAACCGUGGCUGCAGAUUAUCCGCUCGCCGACCUUCUGGAGAACCUCUCCGCCACCCACCAUCGUGUAGUCGCUGUGUACCACAAGCUGUGAAGCUGAACUUCUUCAUUGCGGUCGAGGCGGUGUGGUUUUGCAACGACGAGGUAUUCGGGUUGCACUGCAUGGUCAUGUCGUACAACAUCGGAUGGGGCGUGACCACCACCGGCCUGAUCAUGAACCUGUGUCGCACGCUCUAGAGAGAAUUCAUCGAUGCACUUGCUGAGCAUCCAGAGUUGAAGGUGCAGAAGCUUUUUGCAGUUGUGCCAUUGAAAUCCGUUGUUGGACGGCAGCGCUCAGACGCUGGUGAAGAAGCGGCAUGAUUGUAUGGAGUAUGGACUGGCUCGCCGAGCAGCAGCCGACAACUGGAGAUCUUGGCGCACGGCGACACAGCGGUAUUCAUGAGCCAUUGCGGCUGGAAUUCAACCAUUCGGCCGCCGUUGUGGUGGUAUUUGGGAUCUUCCAUUGCUGCAAAGACCUAGGGGGGAGGAAGAUGAAGGAGAGUCAUCGGAUUGCAAUGGACGGUGGAUUUGUCUGCUACAGUACCGGUGCAGUGAGUACUUCACUGCAGAGGAGCCGAACCCCAAGGCAACAUAUUUCGACAGCGAGGCACCCAGCAAAAUGAGUUAGCGCCACUAAUCAACGACAAUGCAUCUAACUCAGAAAUAUUUGUGUUAAACUGUCGUCAUGCAGACUACACACGCAAAAAAAAAACAGGAACGAGAAUUUUAACACAAACCGGAAACACAAUAACGUAGCAGGUAUCCCACAAAGGAUUUCUAGAAACAAGAUAGAAGUAUAAAAUUGCAUCAUCCAAAUCUGAACAUUACAGCCAACGGUUUCACAGGGUCCAGAAAGUCACAGAAAGCCAAAUAUAUCAAGCAAGUAAUUCAAGCGCAAGCUAUAAACAAAAAGGCCGCAAUAAGAUCAUUGCCAGAUCAAAACUGCAAGCAAGCAAUUCAAGCACGAUACAAAACCAACAGCAAAUUAGCGCAAGCAGAUUUAUCUGAAAUUCACUUAUUCAUUACUUGACGAUACUGCUGUGCCAGCAACAUUUUCAACCAACAUAUAACAUGGGGACUCGAUAGUUUUCAAACCAACACAUAGGACUGACACGAACAAGAAAACAGUUCAAAUGAACGAUAGGGUACCACCAACCGGAUGACCAAGGAUAAACCAGCAGGUCCAACGCCAGGGCAAUUACUGACCACCGCGGAGGCGGAGCACCAGGUGGAGGGUGGACUCCUUCUGGAUGUUGUAGUCCGCAAGGGUGCGGCCAUCCUCCAGCUGCUUGCCAGCGAAGAUGAGGCGCUGCUGGUCCGAAGGAAUGCGCUCCUUGUCCUGGAUCUUGGCCUUGACGUUGUCGAUGGUGUCAGAGCUCUCAACCUCAAGGGUGAUAGUCUUGCCGGUGAGGGUCUUCACGAAAAUCUGCAUACCACCACGGAGGCGGAGCACCAGGUGAAGGGUGGACUCCUUCUGGAUGUUGUAGUCGGAAAGGGUGCGACCAUCCUCU
rnacentral:lncRNA from 1 species